rnacentral:rRNA from 1 species
AGAGUUUGAUCAUGGCUCAGGAUGAACGCUGGCGGCGUGCCUAACACAUGCAAGUCGAGCGGUAAGGCCACUUCGGUGGUACACGAGCGGCGGACGGCUGAGUAACACGUAGGAACGUACCCCAAACUGAGGGAUAAGCACCAGAAAUGGUGUCUAAUACCGCAUGUGCUCUUCGGAGUAAAGCUUCGGCGGUUUGGGAGCGGCCUGCGCAUGAUUAGCUUGUUGGUAAGGUAAUGGCUUACCAAGGCGACGAUCAUUAGCUGGUCUGAGAGGAUGAUCAGCCAGACUGGGACUGAGACACGGCCCAGACUCCUACGGGAGGCAGCAGUGGGGAAUCUUCCACAAUGGGCGAAAGCCUGAUGGAGCAACGCCGCGUGCAGGAUGAAUGCCUUCGGGUUGUAAACUGCUUUUAUAUGUGACGAUUUUGACGGUAGCAUAUGAAUAAGGAUCGGCUAACUCCGUGCCAGCAGCCGCGGUCAUACGGAGGAUCCAAGCGUUAUCCGGAAUUACUGGGCGUAAAAGAGUUGCGUAGGUGGCAGAGUAAGUUGAUAGUGAAAGCGUGCGGCUCAACCGCAUACGCAUUAUCAAAACUGCUCAGCUAGAGGACGAGAGAGGUAACUGGAAUUCCUAGUGUAGGAGUGAAAUCCGUAGAUAUUAGGAGGAACACCGAUGGCGUAGGCAGGUUACUGGCUCGUUCCUGACACUAAGGCACGAAAGCGUGGGGAGCAAACGGGAUUAGAUACCCUAGUAGUCC